rnacentral:tRNA from 1 species
GAAUAUGAAGCGAUUUAUUGCAAUUAGUUUCGACCUAAUAUUAAGUAUCUUAUACUCUUAUUCU